GACCCCCCUCUGCAGAAGAAUCAUUUCUAUAGUAAUCGACCUUACCUCUUGGUUCUUCUAAAGAGCCACGAGAGCUACCCUGGUUGAUGAGUGUAUAUCCUCGACACCCUAGAGUGAAAGCUUUUUGGUCCUCUCGCCCUGUCCGCAAGGAUGGCGGCUCCUGGUCCUUUUGGGCCGCGAGCUGUAUAGAGAGAUUGUUCCCUGCCUUGGUGCGGGGAUGCUUUGUUGAUGAUCUCGACCCUGUCUGUGGUCUGCCCUCGGGCGCGCGGACAGGGUGGGUGUUGACGGACGUCUGACAGGU
rnacentral:snoRNA from 1 species